GUGUGUACAGACGAGAACGGGAGAGAAAACAGUACAACUGUGUGUGUAUGUGUGUCUGACCUUGAGAAAGGAGUCUCAGUUGGAGGAGAAAGGGAUAACAUCCCCCAUCUCUCUCCCUCCCCUAAACCCCCCUUGGAAGGAGAAUUCUGUAUGUGGCCUUCAGUACUCACCAAUGCUCUACCCAUGGAAAUUGGAGUGGGAACAUCUGUAGAAAUGUAUGCUUCGCUCCAGCCGCCGUCGUCCAUCAAAUAAAGAUGAAGGUGUCGCUGCUGCGACCGACAUUGUCCCGCAUGAAUCAUUCAGCACUGUUAGUCUAACGUUCGCCUUCCAGGUCAAGCAGAGGAGGCCUCCCUAGAAGCCGACGUGAACUUGUCACCUUGAAUCGCCCGCUGAGGAAGGAGAUGAGAGAGACGCUCCGGCAAAGACGGGGAUGACGCGGAUGUGAUGAGGACAAACAGUGACUUCCUAAAGCUCAUCUAUUAUAUACGCAUUACAUAGACACAAACACACACACACACACAUACAUGCGUGUGUGCAUUUCCCUAUAUGAGCAACGACAGCUAUAAAAUAACAUAAUUUCUUCUUGUGUGUAAAUCAUUCACAAGCAUAACGCGAACCCCAUGAAUCAACCUCAGAAAUGAGGAAAACAUUUCUACCUAUGUAUAUUACACACCAUAAUUUCCUGUAUUUUAUUGGGGUUUUAAAAGGAAUAUUCUGCUGUGUGCACUCGGUGAUUUCACUUAGAUUUUUUUUUUCUAACACUCUGGACGUGUUGGCUGGAUUCCGGGAAAAUUUGACGUAAUAUUUUCUAACGCUUCUGCGGAUUUAUCAUGUUCCAUAGAAAAUUGAAAAAUAACAGAAAGACAAAAAGCAAUGGGGAGGAACAGUGGACAAGCUGGUAAAGCGUUGGCCUCACAGUUCUGAGAACCCAGGUUCGAUC